AGAUAUAUUUAUUAGUCUCCUGAGGUUGAGAAAGUUCCAAAAGUUGAAAGCCACAGUCCCAGCAGAUGAGUCCGCGCUAAAUAGCAUAGUCACCUUUAAAUUCUUCCAGUAUCAUCACCCUUGUGAAAACUUCAGAAAGACUGGAUUGACUUGGAGACCACUUUCUCUUAUGUACAAUGAUAAAGGAAAAACAUCUCUGCUUUGAGGCCUGUUUCUAAGAAAGUAGAGGCAUCUGUUUUUCACCAGCAGGUGAUUCACUGCAUCUUCAUUUCACUGGUUCCAUUCACUUGCCCUCUGUCCCCUCUGCAAGCUUUCCUCCCAGCUGAAUAUUGGUGUUAUGUUUUUACAGCACAUUGACAAUUAAUACCAGUCCAUCCAACAAAACAUGAAGACUAAAACCAAAGGAAAGAAACCAAGGCAAACUGUUGACAAAGAAGCGUUCUCUGAAGAGCCAGCAAUGAGAAAAAAGGAACUGGUGAAAUGUUUGAGACGCAGAGAAAGGAGGAAUGGGGGAAACAAGGAGAGCAGCAAGAUGCCCACGGGCAGAGCCAAGCGUGCCUGGAGCAGUAAGGACAGGCUGCUGAGGAGGCUGGAGAGCAACGAGCGCGAGAGGCAGAGAAUGCACAAGCUCAACAACGCCUUCCAGGCCUUGCGGGAGGUGAUCCCUCACGUGAGAGCCGAGAACAAGCUGUCCAAAAUAGAGACUCUCACCCUGGCCAAAAACUACAUCAAAUCCUUGACCUCCAUUAUACUCAAUAUGUCCAACGGACACUUUCCAGCAGUAGAAGGGAUGGGGGGAGCCUGGGGAUCCAAAUUGUACCAGCAUUAUCAACAGCAGCACGGGGAGGAUGACCAUGAAGAAAAUCUACAGAAAUAUUCCACAUAAAUUCAUAACUUCAGCCAAAACACCAGCUGCCAGCUACUACUGUCAUUGUUUUUCCUUCUUACAUCAUAAUACAUGUCAUUACCUAAAGGUUUAAAGAGGUUAUUUUUGCUGCCAGUCUGUUCUUUUUUUUUUUCUUAAAAAGGCAAACAGGUAACAUUCGUGACUAUAGUUUAUAUGGCACAUUAAAAAAAUUACCUUAAACCCUCAGAAUUUUUCAGAGCAUAAUGAAUGUGUUCGUGCAGUGUGCCAGGAUCUGGAAACCUAUCCUGUAACAUUGGAGUUGACUUGAAACUAGUGAUUUACUAACUUCUGAACAUUAUCCCAGCUGGAGUAGAGUGAGUUGAGCCUUUAAGGUCAGUGUCAUCUGAGUUCCUUGGAGUUUGUUGAGAAUCUUGGCUGUAGUCUGUUCAGCAGCCUUGCAAUGACUCAUCUACUGUGCUAAAGAGAAGAUUAAAAUCGAUGCCAGCAUUUGAUUGACUUGGUGCCUGAAGUGGCACAUAUGGGAAAUUGGUCACCAAAUCUGAUUUUUCUUGAUAUUUAACUUUGGUGGAUCUGCGCUGGUUAUCUUGAACAUUGCAAGGCAUAAAACCAUCUCUGGAUGCAAACACCUGCAAAGCUUUCUUAGAUUGUAAGCUCUCUAGAGUAAGGACAGCUCUGAUCUGUGUUUCCAGAGCAUCUGGCCUCAUGGAGAUUUUCUUUAGUGGGUGUCUGGGUGCCAUUGUAAUACAAAUAAUAGAUAAGGGACAAAUUACUUACUUUUGCCAAGACAAUGAUAAAAAUGCUUUAGUGUUUAGUCUUAAGUUAGACAAUGCUCUGUUGCUAAUGAAGCCUGUGAUGUGAUCAGGUUCUUUCUGGGUUAGCAUUAGAUUCUGAUACUGUAAAACAAUAAAUGAAGCAGAAACUCUUCAAAAAGAAAAAUAAGCUCUUUUUUCCCCCUCCCUCUAUCCCCUUCUGUGGUAAAAAGUUAUGUCACUGAGGAACUCUCAUUUCAUCUUGUGUUCUCAUACCUGGGGCACCUGAAGCUGGCGUGGCCUCAGUUGGAAGUGUGGUGCCCACGGAGCCCCCGUGUCCCAGCUCCCCCUCCCCACGUGCCCCCUGAACAGGAGGCUGCUGCUCUGAGCCCUGUGGCACAGGAAACAUCCAUCACUAGGAUUGAUAAUGGUUUGUGUCCUGGUCCUUUUCCAGGAGAGAAGGGCUGUCCAGGGAGGAAUGGGGGCUGAGGAAGGAUUUAUCAGAUCCAUCACAAAAGGACUGUGCAGCUGGGAAUGUGUUUGUAGUUUGCUGCAGCACAGAUGAGGGGAUGACAAUGUAAUUCAGAGUGAAAGAUGAGGAUUCCCACACAGGCUGGUAAGGGAGGUGAAUUCUCUUUCUCCACCACAGCAAGCCAUAGCUAUGAUGUAGAACAACACAACAGUUUAUACAUGUGCUUGCCUUCCUGGAGAAAACAUUGGGAUCCUGACUCACCUGGAAUCUUCUUAGUUUUGAAUUUUUUUCACAUUAAAAUAAAUGUGAUUUAGCCCUUCUCAGGUGUUAGUGAAAGAAUUGCAGAGUCUCUUAGAGAUUUAACUUAUCAUGACAGUGCUAGAUCACAGCAGCCCUGUGUGGGUAAAUUAACCCUCACUGUGUUUGUGCACUGAUCACAAUGGGUCAGUCAGUAACACCAAGGCCUUUUCUUCCAGUUAUUCCACUUGGCACCUCCUCAGUUACUUCACAAAACCAAGACCACCCAAGAAGUUUGCAGCUGGUGCUACACUGCUCCACAGCUCUCUCAGACUCACUGGGCAGCAGCAGAAUAAUAAAGUGCAGAAAGAACUCCACACCCAGCUCAUUCCUUCCUGUCUUGGUUAAAAGAAUAACCUUACAAUUAUUUUUUGGUUGGUUUGUUAAAAAGGUUAUGUAGCAGAGGUUAGGUAGGCAGAGGUAAAGCAGCUCUAAAUGACAGACUUGGUAAGUCAUGCUGGGACUUUGUGUACUUUUUCUGUGGAAAUUGUACCAAAGUAGUGCUGUCAAUUAGGGAAAUUAUGUUAGACUCUAUCAUCACCACAAUAAUUUCAUGUAUGAAUAAUGUCCUAAAAAACAUCAGGACAUUCCUCUGUUUUCUUGUUCUGAAAAACCAGAUCCAACCCUGAGUCUAUUUGUUUUCAGUUUUCAAUUGGUAGUUAAAACAAGAAGAAGUAUUUAGACUAGAAGGUAUUUCUCAAGUUGCUUAUUUUAUUUCAAGUCACCAUUUUGAUUUACUGGGUUUGUUUUGCUGCGCAUUGUGAAAUAACACUUUUGAUGCUUCAGAACCUCACUUCAUGGCUUUUUGUACAAGGGGCAAAAUACUUUUUAGCAUCAAUACUAAACCCAGCAGUGUGUAAGUUCACAGCAAUUAAUUAGCACAGCUAUUAGAUGCUCUAGUAUAGAAAGCACAGAAAAGUUGGAAAAACAGGGAAUGCACAGACUUCCCCAGCUCAUAGAAUGUAGUGGCAGUUUGCUGUUUUCUGGGUUCCACCUGGACAUUUCCUCUGACUGAAAUGGGGUUGGACUACCUGUGGCCCAGCACUCAGUAUGUGGAAUUCAUAGGUUGAAACUAUUAAUAUAAAAGGCCUAUUACCAGCAGUUACAAGUGACCUAAUAUGUACUGAUAUUCCCAGCGUCUGCUAUUACUUAUUCAUUUACCAUAAGGAAAAUCAGAUAUAGAGAAGAACUGUCUGACUUAUCUACAGAUCCCACAAAAUCCAAGGGGGUAAAUACUCAUAGAGACUUACAUUAGAGACACAAUGCCAAAGGUCAUCAGUUUCUCUGCUGGAUUAUUUAUUUCAGGUUUCUUUACUUUUUCUUUUGUUGAUUGGGUUUUGUUGACAAGACUCUUUACCUCAUAACUAAAGUAGACUUAGUGAGCAAUUAGGACUCAACUUCAAAAUUUAUUUAUAUUGAGGUUCCUCACCUUGCCCAGCGCCUCCGUCGGACAAAGUCUUUCAUUGUCUUGUGCCCGUGGUAGGACCUACCAAAACAGAUUUAAACAAUGUUCAUGAGGAUGUCAGAGCAUCUUCAGUGUCAGUGCCAGCCUGAGAGCACUGCCUCCAUCUACCCACCAGGCACAACUGCUGAUUUUAAAAUUCUUCAAGUGACAGUUUGCCAAGUUCACCUUGCUGUCCUCCCUCCCUCCCUGCAAGUAUCAGCAUGCCCGCAAAAAGAGGGGAAAUGAGGCAGUGUUGUGUCUCUGCCAAAGGGCAGUUACUGUGCAAACCAGAAACGAGAAGGAGUGAGGACUGGAGUCUGGGAUUUGGCAGAAGAGGAGUUUCCUUACGCUGGGAAGUCAGCUGCAUACUGCCAGCCCUCCCGGUCCGUGCCGCCCGCCGGGCUGAAGUCGAUGUACCAGUCUGAGACCUGUGGGCAAGGAGGACACUGGGAGUAACAAUCAACACCUAAUGUAUCAUGAACACCUCUUCUUCUAUUUACCUACACCUUUUGGAGAGCAAUGACUUGCUAGAAACCUUCUAACACUUGAAAUACAUACAGAGGUUCCCAAAUCUUUUUAAUUCAGCGGAGGAGAAAAGGAUCUAAGUCACAUUAAAGAAAACAUCCCCCUCAGUGCUUAACAUUCUUUUGCCUGUGGAAGAUUAUUGCUAGCUAUUAAUAGGGAAAACAAGGUUAAAUGUUACAACAAAUCCCAGAAGAAAAUCUGGGCCCCUUGAACUCAAGUCUUGUAUCCUACUUGCUAAGCCUGGACUUCUUUGUAAAAAAAUUUGUAAGCCGAAACUUACCCAAGACCACUGUGGAGAAGGAGGCUUGGUGUUGGUCUUUGUACAUUCCUGCAGGCCAGAGGCAUCACUCCACAUGUAUCUGUCUGUGGGCAGCCCUCUGCGGUGGUGGAACAGUGCACAAGGAAUGCAAGGUCAUUUACAACAGGGAGUUUAAAAGGCGAGGGAAGAAAAGCCUUUCUGUAGCACUUCCUGCUCUCACACACAAAACACUGCUGUCGUUAAUCUCUAUUCAGAAAUACCAUGUGAGUGAUGAGCACAGUGGGAAAGAAUCUGUACAAUUGCUUCCAGUUAUAGCAAACUUGAGGACCAUGUUAAUGUUUCUCUGUAGAGUGAUAUUCCUCACUACCAUUUAAAACUGGAAUGUGAAUCCCAUAUAACUGGAUAUGUAUUUUUCUAUACUUUUGCUCAAAUAUACUAUUCAAGAACAUGUAUAGGAAGAUACAGAUCCUAAUAACUUUUUUGUCUGGUCUUAAAAGUGAAAGAUACUGCAAGUAGGCACACUUUGUGCAAUCACAAAGCACAAAUCUGUAACGUUUUGACAUUUUUGAUAAUUACAAAUUAGAAA